GUCUGUGUGAAGUUACAUGGAGUCUAACCUGCCCGUUGAAAUUAGUUUGAAAGGCCGCGGUAUAUUAACUGUGCAAAGGUAGCAUAAUCAUUAGUUUUUUAAUUGAAGGCUUGUAUGAAGGGUUGGACAAAGAAAAGUCUGUCUUUGGCUUUGAUUUUGAAAUUAACUUUUAAGUGAAAAGGCUUAAGUGUGUUUAAGGGACGAUAAGACCCUAUAAAUCUUUAUAUUAGUUUAUUUUAGUGAGGUUUAAUUAAUAAGUUUAAUGGCACUAAGAUGAAGAUUAUUUUGUUGGGGCGAUGAGAAUAUAGAUAUAACUGUUCUUGAUUGAAGACAAAGUUAUUUGUUAAAUGUUAGAAGAUCCUUUAAUAAAGAUUAAAAGUUUAAGUUACUUUAGGGAUAACAGCGUUAUUUUUUUUGAGAGUUCUUAUCGAAAAAAAAGUUUGCGACCUCGAUGUUGAAUUAAAAUUUCUCUGUGGUGUAGUAGUUACAGGAGGAAAGUCUGUUCGACUUUUAAAUUUUU
rnacentral:rRNA from 1 species